ACGCUCGACACCUACGGGAGCAGCAGUGAGGAAUAUUGGUCAAUGGGCGCUAGCCUGAACCAGCCAAGUAGCGUGAAGGAUGAAGGCUCUAUGGGUCGUAAACUUCUUUUAUAUAAGAAUAAAGUGCAGUAUGUAUACUGUUUUGUAUGUAUUAUAUGAAUAAGGAUCGGCUAACUCCGUACCAGCAGCCGCGGUAAUCUGAGCGGGCUGGCAAGGC
rnacentral:rRNA from 1 species